UACAGAGGUCUCGAGCGUUGUUCGGAUUCAUUGGGCGUAAAGGGCGCGUAGGCGGCGGGGUAAGUCUGGUGUGAAAUCUCGGAGCUCAACUCCGAAAUUGCACUGGAUACUGCUCUGCUAGAGGGCUGGAGAGGAGAUCGGAAUUCACGGUGUAGCAGUGAAAUGCGUAGAUAUCGUGAGGAAGACCAGUGGUGAAGGCGGAUCUCUGGACAGCUCCUGACGCUGAGGCGCGAAGGCUAGGGGAGCAAACGGG
rnacentral:rRNA from 1 species